rnacentral:rRNA from 1 species
AUGGGAAGAGUCACCAGGAGCGCUGCUGCUGCCAAGGGUUUAUCCCCACUUGCUGGAAUAGUGGCCCGUAGAGCUGGUGGUGCUAGGAAGGAUCCUGCUUUGGAUUCUGGCAAUGUUACAAGCACGAAGCGUGCACCCAGAGCUCCUAUAAAGUUUUGCUCCCCUGUGCAGCAGCUUCACCCUCAUAAAUUCCCCCACCUGGACAAGGCUCGCAAGUUGUAUAAUCUGUUGCUUAGCGAUGAAGCAUGUGAGAAGUAUGCCGAGAAUACAUUCUCAGUGAUACCUCAGCCUGGUGAUAACGUUACUAGCUUCACUGGGAAACGCAUCUGGGAAGUUUUUGCACCUGGGCAAAUGAUGGAGGGUGAUGUUGUGCUUGACUGUACGUUUUACGGUGCUGAAAAUAAAGUGUUUAAUGUGGAGAGUGCAGCGAGAGAUUUCAAGAGCUAUGUCAAAGAAAAGGAAGACUUGCUCACUGCCGACCUUAUCAUGAUGCCUCUAUUCAAGCCUAUGGUUUUAUCAAAGGAUAAGAAAGUGAACCACUUUUCCUUAUAUGUCAUGAAUCGGUACCGAAGUAGCGUCGACAUCGUUGACUCUUUACCUUAUCCGAAGAACCAUCGUCCUUCAAAGAACACCUAUCAUAAAGACUGCGAGAAGAUUAUCUCCAGGAUGGUCCAAGUAAUGAAGGCUUUUUAUGGUGAUGCUCAGUACAAUGCGAGCAAGCAGCCCAAAUGGGAGCUUCUUGCAAAGAAACCAAUGUUUGUGAAGGUUCCACUUCAAGGGGCGAAUGAAUGUGGCCAUUAUACUCUGAAGUAUGCGGAAUGCUAUGAUGGUGAAAAGAUCGUUGGGAACAUUCGAGAUAAUGAUCCUCGUAUUGUUGAUUGGAAUGCUGAGGAUCUAUAUAGAGUUGUGUUCAACCGGAAUAACCAGCUUCUGGUGACGGAGCUUCCCAAGGAGUUUCAGCCUUUGGCUCCUGGUGCAUAG